UUUGUGAGAUGAUGAGAAUUCUAUUCCCUUUCUCUGAGUCCGGCGGAAUUCAUCUUCGCCGCUCUGAUGAACAUUCUUAUUUGCACGUCAGUCUGAUCCCAAA